UGCAGGUGUGUGUGGUGUGUGCAGGUAUGUGUGGUGUGUAGGUAGGUGUGUGUGGUGUGUGCAGGUAGGUGUGUGUGGUGUGUGUAGGUAGGUGUGUGUGGUGUGUGCAGGUGUGUGGGGUGUGUGUAGGUAGGUGUGUGUGUUGUGUACAGGUGUGCAGGUGUGUGUGGUGUGUAGGUAGGUGUGUGUGGUGUGUGUAGGUAGGUGUGUGUGGUAUGUGUAGGUGUGUGCAGGUGUAUGUAGGUAGGUAUGUGUGGUGUGUGUAGGUAGGUGUGUGUGGUGUGUGCAGGUGUGUAGGUGUGUGUGGUGUGUAGGUAGGUGUGUGUGGUAUGUGCAGGUGUGUGUGGUGUGUGCAGGUAUGCAGGUGUGUGUGGUGUGUGCAGGUGUGCAGGUGUGUGUGGUGUGUGCAGGUGUGCAGGUGUGUGUGGUAUGUGUAGGUGUGUGCAGGUGUAUGUAGGUAGGUAUGUGUGGUGUGUGCAGGUGUGUAGGUGUGUGUGGUGUGUAGGCAGGUGUGUGUGUGGUGUGUAGGCAGGUGUGUGUGGUAUGUGCAGGUGUGUGUGGUGUGUGUAGGUGUGUACGGUGUAUGAGAGGUGCAAGUGUAUGUAGUAUUUGAGCUCAGGCAUGUGUAUGUGUGCCCCCGCAGGCAUGUGAGGUGUAUGUGGUGUGUGCAGGUGGCUAUAGUUAAUGCC
rnacentral:lncRNA from 1 species